AUUGAACGCUGGCGGCAGGCCUAACACAUGCAGGUCGAGCGGAUGAAGGGAGCUUGCUCCUGGAUUCAGCGGCGGACGGGUGAGUAAUUCCUAGGAAUCUGCCUGGUAGUGGGGGAUAACGUCCGGAAACGGGCGCUAAUACCGCAUACGUUCUGAGGGAGAAAGUGGGGGAUCUUCGGACCUCACGCUAUCAGAUGAGCCUAGUUCGGAUUAGCUAGUUGGUGGGGUAAAGGCCUACCAAGACGACGAUCCGUAACUGGUCUGAGAGGAUGAUCAGUCACACUGGAACUGAGCAACGGUCCAGACUCCUACGGGAGGCAGCAGUGGGGAAUAUUGGACAAUGGGCGAAAGCCUGAUCCAGCAAUGCCGCGUGUGUGAAGAAGGUCUUCGGAUUGUAAAGCACUUUAAGUUGGGAGGAAGGGCAGUAAGUUAAUACCUUGCUGUUUUGACGUUACCAACAGAAUAAGCACCGGCUAACUUCGUG
rnacentral:rRNA from 1 species